AGCGGCGGACGGGUGAGUAAUGCUUGGGAAUCUGCCCAAUAGUGGGGGAUAACGUGUGGAAACGCACGCUAAUACCGCAUACGUCCUACGGGAGAAAGCAGGGGAUCUUCGGACCUUGCGCUAUUGGAUGAGCCCAAGUCAGAUUAGCUAGUUGGUGGGGUAAUGGCUCACCAAGGCGACGAUCUGUAGCUGGUCUGAGAGGAUGAUCAGCCACACUGGGACUGAGACACGGCCCAGACUCCUACGGGAGGCAGCAGUGGGGAAUAUUGCACAAUGGGCGAAAGCCUGAUGCAGCCAUGCCGCGUGUGUGAAGAAGGCUCUAGGGUUGUAAAGCACUUUCAGUGGGGAGGAAAAGUUCAAAAUUAAUACUUUUGAACCUUGACGUUACCUGCAGAAGAAGCACCGGCAAACUCCGUGCCAGCAGCCGCGGUAAUACGGAGGGUGCGAGCGUUAAUCGGAAUUACUGGGCGUAAAGCGCGCGUAGGUGGUUUGAUAAGCUAGCUGUGAAAGCCCUGGGCUCAACCUGGGAACUGCAGUUAGAACUGUCUGGCUAGAGUAUAGUAGAGGGUGGCGGAGUUUCCUGUGUAGCGGUGAAAUGCGUAGAUAUAGGAAGGAACAUCAGUGGCGAAGGCGGCCACCUGGACUAUUACUGACACUGAGUGCGAAGCGUGAGGAGCAACACAAUAGAUACCCUGGUAGUUCCCACGG
rnacentral:rRNA from 1 species